UUAGGGAAUCAAUUGAAUGUAUUACACCGAAGCGCGGGGAUGAUCCGAUUAUUACGUAAACGUCGUUCUCCAGUCAGUUAAUGUGAUUGCAUUGAUGCAACAAUGUAAAAGACCUAUAAAUGAAAGUGCUUUCAGCAGAGCGGUUCAUAACCAAACUGAACAUUUGUCUGCUGCACCACCGACUUUAAGAUUGGGCCUGGUCUGGAAGGUGAACUGACAUACGAGUUUACCUUCCAGACCCUGGUAAGUAGAAGACCACCCUGAUUCUGUUUUUUUCAGCACAUAAUCUUAAAAAAAAUUGUCUGACAACCCAGUUUGCCUCCCUCAGGGCCAUCCAGCACUGGCUGGUAAAUGGACGUAUCAUCAGGGCCCCAAGAGUGCGUUGCUUCUGACCCCUGAAAUCUACAAUGCAACAUUUUACACUACCGACUUUAAGACUGGGUCUGGUCUGGAAGGUCAACUUGCGUACAAGUUGACCUUCCAGACCCUGGUAAGUAGAAUACCACCCUGAUCCUGGGUUUUCUUCAGCACACACUCUUAUAGCUAAAUUAGUUUUUUUCAGUUAAUUAAUGGGAAGGGAAAAUGUAUAACAUUCGCUGCAAAGACCCAAUUUUGUUCUCUGAGUAAUUUGGACCCAAACUAAAAUCGGUUUAGCUUCAGCAUAACAUUUGAAGUCCAUCCACCUCUAUAUCUCUUUCAGUAAUGUCUAAAAGUAAAAGGCUUCUUGCUGUUGGGUAUUAUACCAAAUCUUCAGAUGAAGAGUCCUGCUCAAGUGUCAUCCGUUCUGCUAACUCCUGCUAAUGUAUGUGUUCUCUGAGUGUUGUGUAGCUGCAGCAACAGGUGACCACCAUCCGUAACCAGCUUCAUCCUGCUCCCAGAGUAGUGAUACCCACACCUGAUACACAAAUACCAAUAAGCCAUGGAAAAACCAACAAAGGGCGUGCCUAAUGUCAGAGAUGAACGCUGCUCGGAACACUAAAUCAAAUGCUGACAACCUAGAGGACACACUGGAGACGUGCAUGUGAAAGCUGCCAGAUAGUGAAUCCCACUGCAGUGUAUUCCUAUGCUGAUCUCGGUGUCCUCGGCAAAAGGGGUCAUCUGUAUUACACCUGUGGAUGACACUUCCGGGUUCAUGGCAAGACUGCUUCCAAUGGGGUGUAUCAGCUAUCUGCCUCAAGUUGUGUGUGUGCGUGUCUGUGUGUGUGUAUAUGUAUACUUGUGAGCACCAUGACCAAUCAGCAAAAAUCAAGAAACUGGGACAUUUUGGUGGUCCUAUUCUGCAAUUUGGAAACAUCAAUGAUAAUGUGUGUUGACCAAAAUAUUGAACUUUUUUUUUAUGUAUUGUAGAUAUACACUCACCUAAAGGAUUAUUAGGAACACCAUACUAAUACUGUGUUUGACCCCCUUUCACCUUCAGAACUGCCUUAAUUAUACGUGGCAUUGAUUCAACAAGGUGCUGAAAGCAUUCUUUAGAAAUGUUGGCCCAUAUUGAUAGGAUAACAUCUUGCAGUUGAUGGAGAUUUGUGGGAUGCACAUCCAGCGCACGAAGCUCCCGUUCCACCACAUCCCAAAGAUGCUCUAUUGGGUUGAGAUCUGGUGACUGUGUUGGCCAUUUCAGUACAGUGAACUCAUUGUCAUGUUCAAGAAACCAAUUUGAAAUGAUUCAAGCUUUGUGACGUGCAUUAUCCUGCCGGAAGUAGCCAUCAGAAGAUGAGUACAUGGUGUUCAUAAAGGGAUGGACAUGGUCAGAAACAAUGCUCAGGUAGGCCGUGGCAUUUAAACGAUGUCCAAUUGGCAGUAAGGGGCCUAAAGUCUGCCAAGAAAAGCCCCACACCAUUACACCACCACCAGCACAGUGGUAACAAGGCAUGAUGGAUCCAUGUUCUCAUUCUGUUUACGCCAAAUUCUGACUCUACCAUCUGAAUGUCUCAACAGAAAUCGAGACUCAUCAGACCAGGCAACAUUCUUACAGUCUUCAACUGUCCAAUUUUGGUGAGCUUGUGCAAACUGUAGCCUCUUUUUCCUAUUUGUAGUGGAGAUGGUACCCGGUAGGGUCUUCUGCUGUUGUAGCCCAUCCGCCUCAAGGUUGUGCGUGUUGUGGCUUCACAAAUGCUUUGCUGCAUACCUCGGUUGUAACGAGUGGUUAUUUCAGUCAAAGUUGCUCUUCUAUCAGCUUGAAUCAGUCGGCCCAUUCUCCUCUGACUUCUAGCAUCAACAAGGCAUUUUCGCCCACAGGACUGCCGCAUACUGGAUGUUUUUCCCUUUUCACACCAUUCUUUGUAAACCCUAGAAAUGGUUGUGCGUGAAAAUCCCAGUAACUGAGCAGAUUGUGAAAUACUCAGACCAGCCCGUCUGGCACCAACAACCAUGCCACGCUCAAAACUGCUUAAAUCACCUUCCUUUCCCAUUCUGACAUUCAGUUUGGAGUUCAGGAGAUUGUCUUGACCAGGACCACACCCCUAAAUGCAUUGAAGCAACUGCCAUGUGAUUAGUUGAUUAGAUAAUUGCAUUAAUGAGAAAUUGAACAGGUGUUCCUAAUAAUCCUUUAGGUGAGUCUAUUUAUAUAUCUAAUGGCUUAAGAUUAUUCUUAAACUUUCUUAUCCGGUGCAGCCAGAAGAGGACUGGCCCCUCAGAGUCUGGUUCCUCUCUAGGUUUCUUCCAAGGUUUUUGACCCUACUUGGGAGUUUUUCCUAGCCACUGAGCACAAUGUAUUGUUAUUGCUUGCUCUUUGGGGUUUCUAUGCUGGGUAUCUGUGCAUUUUGUGAUAACAGACAAUAUAAAAAUGGCUUUAUAAAAUAAAGUUUGUUGCUUGUUUGCAUGCAAAGUUGUUUUUCCUUCAUUCAAAAU
ensembl:lncRNA